GGGUUGUAAACCUCUUUUAGCAGGGAAGAAGCGUAAGUGACGGUACCUGCAGAAAAAGCGCCGGCUAACUACGUGCCAGCAGCCGCGGUAAUACGUAGGGCGCAAGCGUUAUCCGGAAUUAUUGGGCGUAAAGAGCUCGUAGGCGGUUUGUCGCGUCUGCUGUGAAAUCCCGAGGCUCAACCUCGGGCCUGCAGUGGGUACGGGCAGACUAGAGUGCGGUAGGGGAGAUUGGAAUUCCUGGUGUAGCGGUGGAAUGCGCAGAUAUCAGGAGGAACACCGAUGGCGAAGGCAGAUCUCUGGGCCGUAACUGACGCUGAGGAGCGAAAGGGUGGGGAGCAAACAGGCUUAGAUACCCUGGUAGUCCACCCCGUAAACGUUGGGAACUAGUUGUGGGGACCAUUCCACGGGUUUCCGUGACGCAGCUAACGCAUUAAGUUCCCCGCCUGGGGAGUACGGCCGCAAGGCUAAA
rnacentral:rRNA from 1 species